CUCAGGGCAUUGAAAAUUGACCUUUCCAAUAAGGCCGCCGCGUCGGUUAGCUGAGCUCUACGUUGUGCCGACCUAUCUAGCUUCAUAUCUAUGUGUUUGGAAACAAGUCCUGGACGCACUUGCGCCUGCGCACAUCGUAAACAAAUCAUAUGCGUUACAUAAAGAAACUUAUGUAACGCACACGAUUUCACAACAUUGGGAGCAUUUUUCCACGACGACACUUUUAUUAUGUUCUUAACUAAAAUAAGACGACCUCAUGACAAAAGCCGUAGCGUUACCGAUUGCAGUCGACCAACAAAAAGAGAAGUUAUGCGAAAAAGGACAGGAUAAAAGUUUGCGCACAAGUCGGGAGUGCGUUUGUUGUCCGAGAUGCACAAAAUGGAGGAAAUUGGUCGUCCUUACAAGCGAUGACAAGAGGAAGGAAACCGCCUCACCGCUUGGUCCCAGUCGUCAAUUUCCAGCCUGAAAAAUCUGGGUCCAAACCCAUGGGCCGUCACAUGAUCACCCCCAUUGGAAGUUAAUCUUUAAUACAAAUCUCUAUCGCGAUAAUUCCAUAUUAAAUAUGGUAGUCGUUUGUGUGUGUGGUGGCGCCCCCUGUACGUAGUGUGUAGUGUGACAACUGGCAUGCAAACAGGUGGAGUUGAUUGGGAUGGCGCCAUGAUGUAGUUCAGGUUCCCAAACGGAAGAGGGCGGUGUUGGCUCGUCGAAAAUGGCGCUCGGGAAUUUGAUACCGGAAAGUAACAACAGAAGAUGUUCCUCACGGGGCUGAGGCUUUGGGUCUGCACUGGGACCAGCAGCCAAACUUUUUUCAUCCGGUUGUGGGAGUCAAUUGUGAUUUACAGGUUGUCAGAAGUUGCCCGCGAGUGCCCACCGUGCCCGACGUCGCCUGGUGACUGAGAAACGCCGGCGAGUCUUCCGAUGCUUGAAGCUGCCACAGUCAUCUGUUGAAACAUCCAUCCAUUAUCCAAGCCGCUUGUCCUCACAAGGGUCACGGGAGAGCUGGAGCCUAACCCAGCCAGCUUCGGGCAAAAAGCGGACUCCACCCUGAACUGGUCCGCCAGUCAGUCGCAGGGCAGAUGCGUUGAAACAUUAUGGGAACGUUGAAGCUGGUAAGAAAGUGUCAUCGUCCGCAAUGAAACGAGUCGUGGACCAGGAAUGAAGCCGUUACGCUGAAAGAAAAAGACACCGAGACGAAGAUGUCCUGUGGUCUGGUGAAACUAAAGUUGGAGCUGUUUGCCCAUCAGGACCAACGUUACAAAAGAGGAAAAAGAACACCGGACCAACUGUGAAGCACGGAGGUGGCAUCAUAUUGUUUUGACGCUGGUUUACUGCGGCGGGAACUGGAGCUCUUCAGAAAAUAGGCGGCGCGUCAUGAAGAACGAACAUUACACGGAGACAUUGCUGAUAUUACAAUGUCUCCAAAAAUAGUUCACAAGUGGCUUGAAGGGGAUAAAGUCAAUGUCUCGGACUGGCCCUGAUCUGAAUCGCACGGGAAAAAUUUGGAGGCGGAUUUGAAAAGGGUUGCGCCGGCAAGGCCACCGACAAACCUGACUCGGGAAGAAGAUUUUGGGAUUCCAGCGGAGUACUGUCAGAAGCUCGCCCAAGGGAAGGGGAAAGGACUUCGGCGGGGGGAUCAUAAAGGCCUCCCGCCUCCUCUUGAGCACCGCGGCGGUAUGUCGUUUGGCCUCGGGAGUCGGAGGAGGGAUGCCGGCGCCGUUAUCGGGCGCUCACCUCUGGGUGACAUCUGUCCGUAGUCCCGUGAAGUCACACCUACUUGAGAAUUGCAGAACUGAAGGACGCCAGGACCACGUUGACAUUUUUGUGCCAAUCCAAUCCAAUCCAAGCCAAGCCACGCGAGGACAUGGAGAAGACUCCGACGACGCUGGCCCGCUGCUUUCUGCGUCACCAAACUUCAACCGUCCCACCGGAUCACCGUUUGAGCACGGCCGUCAGUCGUCAUGGAAACCGCUCGGGUUCCCCGCUGCGUUUGACGGGACGGCGCCGGCUCUGGUCCUGCAAUGGGAAAUGAUGAAGGUAGCGAGCGGACUUACAGGGGUUCAUUGUACUGUUUACUGGGGUGUCGCGCGCGGUCACAAGAAAUCCAUUCCGAGCUGCGACGGUGGCAGGAGUGGGGCCCCCACCCACCGACGCCCACGCGGAGGUCUUCGGUCACCUGGCGCCCGCCAACCUAACAAGCGCCAAGUAUGGUAUGUAAAAAGCGGGCGGGGCUUGGACCUGAAGGAGGACUUGGCGGCCCCCUCGGUGCGAGAUUUGGCUUUAAUUACAUUUGGAAAAGAGCUCCAUCAUAUUUGGAAGAGAAAACUCAGGUGGGCGUCCCGACUCUGAAAGUCAUCGACUUCAUCCCCUUCUAUGUCGUUUGGGGGGGGAUGCCCGCGGGGCUUCGUGCGGUUGGACGUCACACACCGACGUUGUGAACACGGCGCCGAAGGGCAGACCGGGUCGCCGCCAAGGAAACGCCUCGUGACUUCUUUUCCCAGAUCGUCGAUUUGCCUUUGUUUGGCGGUCGUCCCGCCACCGCCGGCGUUGGUCUUGUGCUCCUCGGACGGGCCCGAGCGAUGUUUGGAAGCGUCGGCGUGCGUAUUGACGAGCUUGCUUUGCGUGGGCCCCCCCCCCCCCCACUGCUCAUCUGCAAACCACGUCUUUUCUGGAAGACACCCACAGAUCGUGACGUCAUCGUACGAGAGGCCAAGUUUUCUGCUUGUCCCGGGGGUCCCGGCCCUUGCUCCGAUUGGCCCGGUUGACGGCGGCGACGGAGCGCGGCGACGAGCUCUUCUUGCCGGACGAGCGCGAGAGGCCCGUCCGCGACUGGCCGGCGUUGUGGUCGAACUGCACGAGGC